CAAUAGCAAUUUGGUAGAGAUUGGUUGCUGGAAAUUUUGGCUAUAGGUGAGAGAUUGGGGGAAGACAAAUUUUGGUGGGAGUGUGUAGUGCUGGUAGAGAUUGGUACUUAUCUUGUUGUUCUGUAGGGAGUCAAAUCAAUGCAAGCAAUUAUUGAUUUCUGGCCUUCUACAACAGCUGCUCCAGAUCGAUACAAAUAUUACUGUGCCAAGCUCUUGUAAUUUUACCUCUAUAUGUUUCAGAUUUAAUCAGUUUAGAUCAAACCCAGUGGUUCUAUAACUUUUUUCUCCUUCGGGCAGCAAGUGCUCAUGUGCUUUUACUUAAUGAUGCGAAGCUGUAGCACAUCUCCUAGCUUUUGCAUUGUUUCUCAUGUAGGAAAAUUAAUUUGAGAUAGCUGAUUUUUUCCAUAUUUGUUACCUGGGCCUUUUUCUAUAUUUUUUGUGUGGUUAGCAGCAGCACUUCUGUUUUGUCCGUGUGCUUCUGAUGGGGAGGGAGGCCAGAGAUAUCAUAUUUUUUAUGAUAGUGCUGAUGAAAUAAAUCACAGAUUCCAUUGAUAUUGUAUUUGUUGUCUAAUAUAGUUUAUUGGAUUUAUCGCGACUCACACUGUACAUUUUUUUGUUCAGCUGAUUAACAAAUCAUAUGUAGUAAGCUACACAUUUGCUUUACUAAUUUUUUUUACAGCUAUGUAUAUCUCCUAUUGAUAUAUAAUUGAAUAAUUAUUUUACGCCUACUCAUUUGCUUUAAGUUGCUCCUGAGUUUAUUAUAAUAUGUCUACAACUCCUAGCAAGAAUGCUUAUUAUUGUAUGAUUAAAGUAUCAUCAAAAUUUAUAGUUGAGCAAAAUGUUCCGUUCAUUCAUCAUGGGAGUUAUCUAUGUAAAGUAGCAAAAUGUUCUGUUCAUUCAUCAUGAGAGUGAUGCAAAAAUGUUCUGUUCAGUUAAACAUUAGUUAAAUGUGUUUCACUAGGAUCAUUCUCGUCCUAAUUACCCAAGUUCCUUAAGGGAAGUUCUGAUGACUAUCCAGGUUGCUCAUCAAUGAAUGAAGAAUAAAUCAGUUCAUCCACGCAUCCUCUGGAUGGCACUGGAUCCAAUGCCAAAAAGACAACCUCUGCAUUAUGUCUGAAAUUCAGAUGAUUCAGAACUGAAAACUCAAGAACUAUGCCUGAUAAAUCUUAUACAGAGCAAUGUGGAAAGGUCAGUACUGCGGCACCGUGCUAGGAUGGAAAGCAACAGUGAUACGGUUUCAUCACAGAAGGGGAAAAAAGAAAUGGUAAGUGAAGUUGAUCCAUCCAAUUAUGAAUUUGUUUCUCUUUGCUGUUGCCAUUCUUUGGAUGUUAGUUGCAGACCGAGAAUGAACUUUCCAUGCCCUCCGUGACAAAGUUAGUGUUCAGUUUUUGAAUUAGAUUAUUAGAAUCAUCCAAUGUUUGAUGGAAUUAUUCAGUGAUGUUUAUAAUCAGUUAUUAAUGAGAAGUUCAUAUCUACUAAUAAGAACACUAUUUUAUGAUGUGAGAUUGUGACAUGAUCUAUGGAAUUGGAUAUCAUGUGGUUCUUAAUUAGGCAAUAAUAUGGUCUUAAAAAGGCAAAAUAGUGUACUUUAUUAGGCAAUGUUACAUAACAUCUAAUUUUCAGUAUGUCGUUGUGAAACAGCAGUAUUGCUACUAGACCUCAAACCAGUAUUCUGAUUGUAGGAAUUAGAUUGCGUAUUUUUUACCAGAGGGAAUAGGUGAAUGGCUAUAUUUCUUGAAUCCGUGAAGGUGCAUAUACAUUGCAUUAGUAUGGCAUGAAUAAGUAUGGCGGAUCCUUUUUUGCUGGAGGCAAUUCAGGUUAUGUCCAUUCUGGCUGAUCAUCAUGGAUGGUGAGUGUUUGUUUUUUUGCAGCCUCAGCUCCCUGGUAUUUUUGGAGUUCUUUGUGGACAGGGGUGGGGGAUUUCAUUUUCUUCUUCCUUUUUUAAAUCUGCUUCUAAUUGUACAACUGUAUCUACUACGCACCUAUUAAACAGUUCACAUUUUGAAAUAUAUGUUGUAUAGUUGAGCCUCUAAUUGUUCUUUUCUGACUUAGGUAUUUUAUCUUUUAAGUUAGGCAAAAAUGCUAUUUAAGUUAGGAAAAAGUACUAUUACUAAUUAAGAAAAUUACUUCUUUUUCUAGCUUUGAAUUAGCCUCACACACCAGCACGAAAAGCACACGAGUCAGCCAGUCAUGAUUGUGGGUUCCACAAGCUGAUGCAUGCUCAACAUUGGGGGCGGGCGUUCAGUGUGCAACAUUCAAGAAAAGAGGAUAUUUGCAACAUUCAGAUCAUCCUGAUGCACACGUGGCUUAAUUUUGAAGAAAAUGACAGUGGGAAAGCAUCCUGAAUUUGGCAUAGGCUUUUACAGCAGUGGACUCAAAUCAGGUUUUACAUCAGUGGAUUCUACAUCAGCACAUCUGUCCGGAUUCUCACGUACACAAUUUAGUUUUUGUAAUUGAAGAUCUGCUAUUUAUGUAUCUGGGGGGAUAUGUUUUUCCCAAAUCUUGUUGCUAGAACCUUGAAAUAAAGUUGCGCAGGAUUGCUGCAUAAAAGAUUGAGAUCCGAUCAGUGUGUCA